rnacentral:rRNA from 1 species
GUGGGGAAUAUUGCGCAAUGGGCGAAAGCCUGACGCAGCGACGCCGCGUGAGGGAUGAAGGUUUUCGGAUCGUAAACCUCUGUCAGAAGGGAAGAAACUACGUUGUGCUAAUCAGCAGCGUACUGACGGUACCUUCAAAGGAAGCACCGGCUAACUCCGUGCCAGCAGCCGCGGUAAUACGGAGGGUGCAAGCGUUAAUCGGAAUUACUGGGCGUAAAGCGCACGUAGGCUGUAGUGUAAGUCAGGGGUGAAAUCCCACGGCUCAACCGUGGAACUGCCUUUGAUACUGCACAACUUGAAUCCGGGAGAGGGUGGCGGAAUUCCAGGUGUAGGAGUGAAAUCCGUAGAUAUCCGGAGGAACACCGGUGGCGAAGGCGGCCACCUGGACAGGUACUGACGCUGAGGCGCGAAAGCGUGGGGAGCAAACAGGAUUAGAUACCCGUGUAGUCC